rnacentral:piRNA from 1 species
UGAAGUGGUAUGCCUGCAUGACCUUGGCGGG